UCCAGUGGUAGUCAGCUGUCCAGAGCAGUACUGUGUCUGUGAUAGUGUUACACUGCUGGGAGAUAAAUAUCAGUCAUUUCUUCUGGCUGCUGCUUCUGGAGACAGUGGAUGCCAAAAAGAAGUGGCAUUGUGCUUCCCUGAGAGUGCACUAAAGACUUGUUUUCCCUCUUCAGUGCUAGUCCGGAGGCAUACAGA
rnacentral:snoRNA from 1 species